GACGGGGGGGGCAGGUGUUACUCAUCAUGACUGGGCGUAAAGGGUGCGUAGAUGGUUAUUUAAGUUUAAAAUUAAAUUAAAAUUUUUAUAAAAUUUUUUAUACUAAAUAACUUUGAGUUUAAAAGAAGAAAAAAGUACUCAUAAUGUAGAGGUGAAAUUCGGUGAUAUUAUUGGGGACUAUCGGUGGUGAAAACGUUUUUCUAGUUUAAUACUGACAUUGAGGCACUACAGCAUGGGGAUCAAACAGG
rnacentral:rRNA from 1 species